UGAGGAAUAUUGCGCAAUGGCCGAAAGGCUGACGCAGCGACGCCGCGUGGGGGAUGACGGCCUUCGGGUUGUAAACCCUUGUCAGUGGGGAAGAAAAAAAUGACUGUACCCACAGAGGAAGCCCCGGCUAACUACGUGCCAGCAGCCGCGGUAAGACGUAGGGGGCGAGCGUUGUUCGGAAUUACUGGGCGUAAAGAGCUCGUAGGCUGGAAAGUAAGUCUUUGAAUAAAUCUCCCGGCUUAACCGGGAACAAUUUAGAGAUACUGAUUUUCUUGAGAACAGGAGAGGGGAAUGGAAUUCCUAGUGUAGCGGUGAAAUGCGUAGAUAUUAGGAGGAACACCAGUGGCGAAGGCGGUUCUCUGGCCUGUUUCUGACGCUGAGGAGCGAAAGCUGGGGGAGCGAACG
rnacentral:rRNA from 1 species